rnacentral:rRNA from 1 species
UACGUAGGGUGCAAGCGUUGUCCGGAAUUAUUGGGCGUAAAGAGCUUGUAGGUGGUUUGUCGCGUCUGCUGUGAAAAUCCGAGGCUCAACCUCCAGCCUGCAGCGGGUACGGGCAAACUAGAGUGCGGUAGGGGAGAUUGGAAUUCCUGGUGUAGCGGUGGAAUGCGCAGAUAUCAGGAGGAACACCGAUGGCGAAGGCAGAUCUCUGGGCCGUAACUGACGCUGAGGAGCGAAAGCAUGGGGAGCGAACAGG